GGCCUCGAAGCUCAGCUGGUUUGAGCAUUUUUUUUACUAAAGCCUUCGCCCUGCUGGCGUGGGUUCGAAUCCCACAGAGGCCA
rnacentral:tRNA from 1 species